rnacentral:rRNA from 1 species
AAUAGUUUCUUUGGUGGUAAUCUACUACUUGGAUAACCGUAAUAAUUCUAGAGCUAAUACAUGCGUAAAUCUCGACUCACGAAGAGACGUAUUUAUUAGAUAAAGACCGACCUCGUUCUGCGGUGAAUCACAAUAACUUCACGGACCGCAUGGCUUUAUGCCGGCGGUGUUCCAUUCAAAUUUCUGCCCUAUCAACUUUCGACGGUAGGAUAGAGGCCUACCGUGGUGUUCACGGGUGACGGAGAAUUAGGGUUCGAUUCCGGAGAGGAAGCCUGAGAAACGGCUACCACA